ACAACAUUAAGCUUCCAUCUAUUUAGUCAAUAAGAGAGUCCUUUACAUAGAGUCCCCAACAAUUAAGAGAGAAAAUACCUUGUAGAAGAAAGUCCAAAUAAAAGUUCUGGUUCACACAAGGAAAAUAUGAUGGAGGAAGGAUAAACUUCAGUAACUUGUCUAGAUAAAAGAUGGUAGAACAGUGAAGACAAAGAGGAUGAUCGUGUCACUGAAGACAAUGAUGAGGUUCCCCUCAAUGGACGAUAGAUCUCCCCUUUUAUUUUUGGAGAUGCGUGAUGUCAAAAAUUUUUUCUCUCUUUUUCCGGUCACUGUUUCCUUCUUCGAUCAUCAGUUCGCUUUUUCUUUUUCAGUUGCUGUUUCCUUCUCUGAUCAUCAUUUAUUACCGACAACAGUUCCUUAUCCGACCAUCAUUUUAUUAACAGUGACAGUUCCUUCCCUCACACUUUUGAUUAGAAUAAUCUUUUCAUCUGAAUUAGAAUAAUGAGGAAGUAAUGUUACAAAUAAACAUGUUUUCAUGCUUGUAAAUGAAUCAAAAUAUAAAUCAAGUGAAUCAAAUGAAAAAUAUAGAUACAAAACUGAGACAAAGAGUAGAGAUAUUAGAAUAGUAGAUAUUUUUAAAUAAGAAUAAAAUUUUUUACCAGUUGAAUUAAAAAG
rnacentral:lncRNA from 1 species